AAACUAUUACCUCCAUCCCAAAAUUCUUGUCUCAGAUUUGUGUAGAUACAGAUGUAUCUAGUCACGUUUUAGUGUCAGAUACAUCCAUAUCUAGACAAAUCCAAGACAAGAAUUUUGGGACGGAGGGAGUAUUAU
rfam:Triticum aestivum genome assembly, contig: Triticum_aestivum_CS42_TGACv1_scaffold_514368_6BS